UACGUAGGGUGCGAGCGUUGUCCGGAAUUAUUGGGCGUAAAGAGCUCGUAGGCGGUGUGUCGCGUCGGCCGUGAAAACCUGGGGCUCAACUCUGGGCGUGCGGUCGAUACGGGCAUCACUUGAGUUCGGCAGGGGAGACUGGAAUUCCUGGUGUAGCGGUGAAAUGCGCAGAUAUCAGGAGGAACACCGGUGGCGAAGGCGGGUCUCUGGGCCGAUACUGACGCUGAGGAGCGAAAGCAUGGGGAGCAAACAGG
rnacentral:rRNA from 1 species